UACGAAGGGGGCUAGCGUUGCUCGGAAUUACUGGGCGUAAAGGGCGCGUAGGCGGCACUGUUAGUCAGGCGUGAAAUUCCUGGGCUCAACCUGGGGACUGCGCUUGAUACGGCAGAGCUAGAGGAUGGAAGAGGCUCGCGGAAUUCCCAGUGUAGAGGUGAAAUUCGUAGAUAUUGGGAGGAACACCGGUGGCGAAGGCGGCUACCUGGACCGGAUCUGACGCUGAAUGCGCGAAAGCGUG
rnacentral:rRNA from 1 species